CUACGGGCGGCAGCAGUGGGGAAUAUUGCACAAUGGGGGGAACCCUGAUGCAGCAACGCCGCGUGGAGGAUGACACUUUUCGGAGCGUAAACUCCUUUUAUAUAGGAAGAAGAUGACGGUACUAUAUGAAUAAGCGCCGGCUAACUCCGUGCCAGCAGCCGCGGUAAUACGGAGGGCGCAAGCGUUACUCGGAAUCACUGGGCGUAAAGAGCGUGUAGGCGGAUUAAAAAGUCAGAAGUGAAAUCCUAUAGCUUAACUAUAGAACUGCUUCUGAAACUCUUAAUCUAGAAUAUGGGAGAGGUAGAUGGAAUUUCUGGUGUAGGGGUAAAAUCCGUAGAGAUCAGAAGGAAUACCGAUUGCGAAGGCGAUCUACUAGAACAUUAUUGACGCUGAGACGCGAAAGCAUGGGGAGCAAACAGGAUUAGAUACCCGAGUAGUC
rnacentral:rRNA from 1 species